rnacentral:rRNA from 1 species
CCUACGGGAGGCUGCAGUGAGGAAUAUUGGUCAAUGGGCGGGAGCCUGAACCAGCCAAGCCGCGUGAGGGAAGAAGGUACAGCGUAUCGUAAACCUCUUUUGUCAGGGAACAAAGGCGGGGACUAGUCCCCGGAUGAGGGUAUCUGAAGAAACAGCAUCGGCUAACUCGGUGCCAGCAGCCGCGGUAAUACGGAGGAUGCGAGCGUUAUCCGGAUUUAUUGGGUUUAACGGGUGAGCAGGGGGCUAGUUAAGUCGACGGUAAAAGCCCGGGGCUCAACCCCGGGGGGCAGUUGAAAAUGGCGGGCUGGAGUUGGGGAGAGGUACGCGGAAUGCGCGGUGUAGCGGUGAAAUGCGUAGAUAUCGCGAGGAACCCCGGUUGCGAAGGCAGCGUACCGGCUCCACACUGACGCUGAGGCACGAAAGCGUGGGUAUCGAACAGGAUUAGAUACCCGAGUAGUC